GUUCACGGAACUUGAAGUCGCUAGCGAUGUACUCUGAGACCCAAAGAAUCAAAUUGUACCCAAUUAUAAAUUUCCAAUUUGCACGUCUCCAGUGGACUAUGGCAAAGAAUAUGCCCAAGUCCUGAGCAAUUGAGUGAGUUCACAAGAUCAAUUCGGGCGUCAACUCCAUUUGCUCUCGAAUCUAAUGGUGAUUGGGCACUUUUGAAGAUGAUGCCUUGGUAAUUUAAGACUGGUCCUCCUUGUCUUUAGUGGCGGCGGUAGUACUUGUGUGUAUGUGAAGGUAAGGUAGUACAGUGGUUGAGGUAGAGGUGAAGUGGGUGACUGUAUCUGGUUGUUAGGGACUAUGAGUGGCUGCUGAUUGUGAAUUACGAUUAGUGUGUUGAGUGGUGUAUUGGACAGUGGUUGACAAAGGCGACACAGGCGCAGAGGAGAUAGUGGCCAAUUGGGAUGUGGUGGUGUUGGGCAGUGAUGCGACGGCGAGUGAGGGUAGCGUAUUUUACUGUGGUUGGUAUUGAGUGUCGGUUGGUGUGUUGAAGGUUAUGAAUCGGGCUGUGGUUGGAUGAAGAUGUGAGGUGCAAUGGGUACCUAGGUACAAUAGGUAAUUAAGUGGUGGCGGUAGGCGAUUGAUGCUGAGGGUGUAUGUCGGCUUGUUAGUGGUAAACUACAGUCUUGGGGUCGAUGGUCAAGAGGCGGCGACGCUGUGGUUGUCGACGGUAAUAGAAAGGAGAGAUGGUUGUGGUGCCGGCAAUGAGGGCUGGAUGACGACGAGUGGGAGGACCGGUUUAGAUAGACGAAUUUAGGUUGCUAUCACGAGGUUGAAGACGGGUUGUGUGGUGAAUGGGCUGAAUUAUGAAAAAGGGGUAAUGGGCUUCUUGAGUUAGGUUAAGUGAAUGAUAUUGGGUGGUUGGGCCUAAUGAAUUUGCAGGUAAAUCGGCUUGUGUGUGAUAUUGGGCUGCAUGUUUUAUAAUGGAGUUAGGGCUUGGUUUUGUAUGUGUGUGGGUAUAUAAUAGGAUUGGGCUGGAAGUAAGUGGGCU
rnacentral:lncRNA from 1 species